rnacentral:tRNA from 1 species
CAGAGUGUAGCUUAUUUUAAAGCCUUUUAUUUACACUAAUAAGAAAAUUAAUUAUUCAUUCUGA